AAAACACUUUCCAGUCAUCAGGGCAGAGGUUUUGGGAGGGAAGACCGACAGUGACAACCAACUCAUUCAGUACAUCAUCAAACAGACCAAGAUGUUCAAGGGCCCUAAAAGGAAUUUUGAUGCCAUCUACACUGCAUCCAGCUCUGCAGCAUGUGGAGUCACUCUGAAAAAAGGCACCAUGUAUCUACUCAUGGGCAAACUGGAGUCCAACGGCUUGCUGCGCAUCACCGGGUGUGAUUUCUUUCAGCCGUGGAGUUC